AUUUGUUUUCUGGCUAGGGUAGAUGCCUUAGCGCUUGGAGCUUCAGUGAGCUCAUUUGUUUUCUGGAGUUUUACUUUCGACUCUGUCGAAACUGCGCUGCGAAAGCCUGUUCUGUGUUGUUCGGUCUUUGUUUUGUAGUUGAUGUGCAUAAACGCAAAUGGAUUACUCUUUGUUCCUCAGAAUGGCCAGCCUUUGACGUGGGCUGGCCGCGGGAUGAUACCUUUAACCCCCAAACUAUAUUUCAGGUAAAAGACACCCCAAGGGCCCCCCCUUCCUUUCCCCCUCUAACCGCCCGCCGCCGCCCCCGCCAGAGGCAGAAGCGGCCGCCGCCGCCUAGGUCCCCUUAACCUCGGAGGAGAAACAGCUGCCCAAUGAAAUUGAUGCAGCUUGCCCUCUUAAAAGACCUGAAUGGGAUUUUACCACUGAAGCAGGUUUCUGCUUCUGACAGACAUCUGAGUACCAGUUGCUGACUUCAGACUGUUCUAAGUAGACUGCGAACCCUAGACUUGCUAUGGAUGUGAACCAGUCUGCUGAUAUGGACACCCCCUAUCUCUGCAACAAUGUCAGCUAACCAGAAGCCCCUGAUGGAUUCCCCAUUGCCUAAAUUCCUUUUUGUUUUUGACUAGCAUUUCAAC
rnacentral:lncRNA from 1 species